AAAGUCACGAGGGUUGUGAGAAAUGAAACUUCGCUACUGCUCUCCCCGUGUGGCUCCCCCCGUGGUUCCCCUUCUGUUGUGGCUCCCUCUGGCUCCCCCUGUGGCUCUAGUGGCUCCUGUCCUGCCUGUCCUGCCCUAGCUGAGCCCCAGCAAGCAGCACAGCAGCCGUGGCCAGCAUGGAGGGUGGCAGGGCAGAGUGGGGGCCACUUCUGAGGGCCGUCUUCCAAUCUGAGAAGAGUGUUUUCAAGGAAUUGUCUUCUUUCAUCUCUCAAGAUGGAAGCCAUCAAUCAGUACUUUCCAUGGAGGCAGUUGCCACCCUGAAGGAAAAGCUGCUGACCAGCCCCAAUGCAGCAUCGCAGGUGCUUGGCCUGCUUGCAACCACAGCCACUCCCCUCUACUCCACCAGUGGAGAGGACGGACAUGUGGGUGACGAUCAUGGCCAGAAGCCACUGGAAGCUGCCCCUCCAGCCCGCUGGGUGGGCCAGGUUUGCCGCAUCUUCUUGGACUGCCUGGAGCACUGCCUCUGGAGGCUGGACAAUCUGGACGAGAAGCUGCAGCAGGAGGAGGAAGAGUACUCAGCGCUGCUCAGGAGGCAGCAGAGGAGCUACUCUCCCAUGAGAAGCAAUAUGGGGCGGGCAAAGCAGAAGACCAUCGCCUCUGCUGAGGCAUCAAAAUUUAAAGAGAGGAUCAUGGCCACUAAUAUGAAGAAAGGGGAAAUUGAAAGUCUGUUUUAUAAAUUGCUGUCAAUCUCAAAUUGUUUAGACGCUGCCUCCAUGAGCAAGUUGUUCCCAAAGAUGAUCACUCUCAGCUAUGAGAAGAAAGUGUUGGCUGUGAACAAACUGUACAUUUGUAUGCUGUCAGCCUCCACGGAGUGCUUACAAGCUUACUGUGAGAGAGAGGCGGAGUACCUUGUCCGUAAGUUUUAUGACAAAAACAGUGAUCUGACACACGGUCUUGUGCCCCUCAGCUCCCCACAGGUUAGGGAAAUCUUCCAUGUGUGUGUACACAGCUCAAAGCAUAUCAUGGAAAUUUUUUUUGAUUGCCUGUCAACUUCCCUCAGCACCAUGAAGGAGAUGGAGAUGCAGGAUUUCUCGUGGCUGGCGCCGCUGUGGCCGCUGCUUUACAUACAGACUGUCACUUCAUCCCAGGGAGUUGUGGAACACACAGGCAGCGGAGUGCUGUGGAAGAAACACAGCGCCGUUGAUCCACUGUUGGCUGAGGUAUGUGGUCUGCUGCAGCGGGACAUGAGACUGGUCCAGUGGUGUCUGGCUCACAACAGCCGGCUCAAGAUACAACCUCUGCUGCAGCUUGUCAGAGACCACUCACCGCUCUGUGUCAUCCACAAGUCCCUACAGCUCAACACUCUGGUGCCCAGCGAUGUGCUAGUGAUGCUCCAGGAACAUUGCAUGGCCAGGGACUCCACGGGUCUGCUCCACUCCUCCUGCAAGAACACAUUUACAGCCUUUUGUAUUUUGUCUCAAAUGUUUGAAGUAAUUGGAGCUGGAAUGCAACUGGACAAUAUAUCAACUGGAUGGCAGGCAAGAAGAAGAUCUCGUUCUUGUAAAUUGCCUGCUAGUAAUGGAACAAAUAGUUUCCAGGAAAGGCAAAGUCAUUCAUCAUUCUACAAACACAAUAUAGCUGAGAAGUUAAAGUCUGUGAAGAAGUUGUUAGAAAGCUUGCAGCCUUUAUCCUACAGACUUGAGUUGAUGGAAGACAUCUACUCCCUGAUGUUCGUGAGGCACAGUGAUAUGAGUGACGAGGACCACAGCGAGGCCAGUGCUGACGAGGGGGAGAUGGAGCUGUCCUUGCCCUCGCAACACACAGACGCUGACAGCCUCAGGAGCCUCACCGUGUCCAGCAACCUCCCCAACCAACUGGCCAGGGACUCCCCAGACCCUGCCUCUGUAAGUGAACCUAACCACAGUGCUGAAGCUGCCGCUAAGAAAAGAGUGAUUGAUUUUUCAGAAUAUGUAGUCCUGGACGAGAAAGGUGUGGAGAGGCUCAACUUUUCCAGCAAACAGUCGUCGGCAAGCAGUGUGUUGGCAAGCCAUCCCGUCAGCAAGUCCCCGUCACCAGAUGGGAAGGAGGGUGAGGAUUCUGCUUCCAAUGAGCAGGUGCAGUGGGAAGUUGACCAACUGCCCAGCCAGAGUGGAGAAGCUGCACCACAGAGGCAGAGCAGCUAUGUGAAUGGCAAGAGUUGCUCAUCCAGCGCCAGGGAGCUGCCUCGCACCGGCUACCUCAUCAACACCCUGGUGGCCUGGGACGUCAUGCUCAUGCUGAAGGAAGUCCUCUUUCUAUAUACUAAUGAGAAUUUCAAGCAGAUGAGGAAUGAGGAGACAGUUCCCCACAAAGGCAUGGAGAGCCGUGUGUCGUACCUGUCCAUGUGUGUCAAUGAGGGCCUGUGGAGGCUGCAGGUGAUGGUCCCCGGCAGUCACUCCUUCGCCUCACAUGACAUAUUUGAUGAGUACCUGGAUGGCACUCUCUUCUCCCGUGACUCCCACCACCUGGUGUACGACGUGUCUUCCCCGGCGACAAACACCAAGAAGAAGCUUGGCAAGGACGCCGAAGCUCCACAGUUGAGAGGAUGCUCCGCUGAACGCAGCAGCAUCAUAAACUACCUCUUUGCUCCGUCCUCCAGUCUCAUCACCCUCUCCUUGGCCAAUGGUAAUGUGGAAAGGAUAGAAAAAAUAUUCCACACCUUUCAGCUUCCAGACACGACUGACAAGCGGGAAGCACACCUUGCCAUGCGCCUUGGUCAGCUGCGACCCAAACUGUCCAUGUCGGCCCAGAGGUCAGGCCGACCACGGGAGCCCAAGGCAGCACUGGAGCUUGGCACUUCUGAUGACUUGCUUCAGAGCAUCGGGUUAUUGGCUAGGGAGGGGACGGCUCACGUUGGGGCCACGAAUCUCAUUCACGAUUUGAUCACCUCGCUGCCACCGCCAGUCCCCAAGGGCAUCCCUGAGGCAGCUAUGACAACAGAGUGUCCUGUGGUAGCCUCCUUCAUGACACCCAUGGCUCUGGUGCUGACAGACUUGGCACUCACCGUGGAUGUGACAGAGACCACUGCCACCUACAUCAUGGAGCAGGUCUUCCAGCGGCAUAGUGCCACUCAGCCUGACCAUCGGCACAUUGAGACUUGUGGCGGAAUUACAGGCUACUAUCCUCUCCUUCAGCAACUGGGCAAUGCCUGUAGAGCACUCACCAAACUGCAGGAAGAGCUAAAACCAGAAUGUGAAAGUGCCAUGUGUGCCUCAAGAAAGGAUGUACACAAAAAGGCUUCUCUUUGCUUGACAGGACAAAGUGCCACUCCAUUUUCCCUUCUGAUGUCAUCUCUUCCCCUGAAAGAUGUGGAGUUAACAGCUUACCUCAGUGGGUGGGCCAAGGUCUUGAAGAAUGUGAGUGCUGUCCAGGAAGCACUUUUAGACAAGAACAUUAAGUUGGAAGAUGAUACAACAGUAAAGCAUCCUCUGUACUCUCAGAAGAAUCCAGUACAUGUUGCAUACAAAACUUUGCUUCUCACAUUAAGUACAGAAGCAUCUCAUCUUUGGUGCAACUCUGCUAGAGACAAGGCUUGCUUCAAGGUUGGAGCGUAUGUCAGAUCCUUCUACCAGUACUUGCAGCUCCUGUCGGCAAUGGUCACACAGCAUGCAGAAGAACACUUUCUCAGCAGAAUGAGCAGCCACUUUUCACUCCUUGAUGACAGACCUGUUGAAAUUCUUGGAACGCUGAUCUUUGAAGAGGCUGUUGAUCCCGCCAGACUGGAGCCUAUUGCCAACAAGAUGAGGCUGAGUCUGACUGCCAUGAUCCUCCAGUACUGCUUCCCAAAUUUCCCCAUCACUGGUGAGAGUUUCAACAUCGCACCUUUAUCUGCCAAGGCAAAGGGGAAGGUCCAUCCUCUGGGCUUCCUGGUGGAGAAGGAGCGAGUGGUGAUGAAUGCCGGGACCAAAGGAUGCCAGGAGGGUGUACACGGGGAGUUAGUGGUGCAGGGCCUCCUUAUGUCUCUCCUCAGUAGCCUCCAUGAAGCCACACAGCCCAGCUCAGUUAUCUCACAAACUGGCCUCAGAGCAUCGGUGCUGAAUGACACCACAGCCCCGAGAUUCCUUGCCCUAUCGGACGUCCUGAUGGUGCUGAGGGACACGGCAGACCUCACAGCGGUGGACUUCAACAAGAUGCCGCCUGGGAGGGAAGCCGUUGUGUUCUUUGUCAACUUGGCCAACUUGAUGUUCAUUCACGCCGGCUUGCUUAACCACAUUCUGUACCCUGCCAGCAAGGUGAAAGUGAAGCCUGAGGCACGUGGCGUGUUCUCCAACUACCAGCUGGAACGCAUCUGUGCCCUUAAGCGCCUGGGCUACAUGGUGGGGCAGCUGGGCUUUCUCUCCUUAUAUGACAUUCUGUACACUGUCCUGAGACUGCAGAACCCACUUUCCAGUAUACUGGUGCAGAAUGAUCCCAUUAACAGAAUCAGUAUAUGUGAGAGUAACUUGAUAUGCACCAAACUACUUCACAAGAGAGAAGAACUGUCCUCCAUAUCAGAACUGUUGGAGCCGCUUUCUUCUCGGAUCAGUUUCUGUGUCACCCAGGGAACGCCGGUGUCUCCGCGGGUCCAGGUACUGUUUGUGGACAGAAUGGAGGAGCAGCUGGAGGAGGGAGUACAGGAACAUAUGAGGCUGUUCUUUAUUGCUCAGAGCAAAAGAAAGAGGAAGCAGUCUUUAGAAAUGCAGGAUCACAGUAAGAAGGGCCUGGACAAAUGUAAGGUGGUAACAUCAAGAACAGUGUUGGAUUACCUUGCUGCACAUUCUAGUGGCAUUGUGGGAGGCAUGCAGAAGCUGCAGAAAAGCAUGCCACUAGAAAUGGCAGCUAUGGUACAGGAGUUCAUUUCAGAACUGUCCAAAGGAAAACCACUUGAAAUUGAUGUUCUUGAUAGGGAAGAAAAGAGAGGGAUUGUUCUAGAAAUUUUUGAAUCUUUUGAAGAGGAAAAUUACUCAAACUUGAUACAGGAUGAAGCCCAGACUACUUCCUGGACCAAGGAACCAUGCGAAGUCCUGUGGAAGGAACAUGGCAUACCCAAGCGAGUGUCAAAUUACCUGUAUUACCAAUGCCCACUCUUGUCCUUCCUUGUACAAAUAUUUCACAGAACAGCAGACCACACCGAGCAGAAAGGAAGAAUAGAUCCCAGGGAAUACAUGGCAUAUUUACAACCCUGGAUAAUGAUACUCUAUCCUCCGUCAGUUAAGUCAAAGCCAUCCUCUGCUGAAAUUGAAGACUAUUGGCCGGUGGUAAACUUGUUCACUUCACCGCGAAAUCUGGCCUUGGCUAGGGUCCACGGUAGUAACAAGGUUGCCUCUGCCCUGGCGUGUGGCCCAGAGAUCUCUGCCAUCUGGGACCUUGCCGACAGCCUGCUGGGGAGUGGCGCCAUCACCAGAGACCACCAGAAGCAGCUGCAGGAACACGCCACAACACUGGUUAAUGUACUGGAGUCCCUCCCACCCAGCACUCGAGAGAACCACCCUGACCUGACCCUCUUCCUUGACCUGCUGCUGGUCUUCCUGGUGCAGAACACUGCGUCUGAUGGUGAUCCUGGACCCUGGAGCUUUGCCUGCCGCAUUGCAGAUACCGACACAAGAUAUGCAGUUGUCAUGGAGGCCCACAGAAGUUGGCCGGCUGAACCUGCCCAGGAGAUGCUGAGAAUAGUUGGUCACGACCCGCUGCUGUCAUUACACCUCCAGGAGAUGGCUGACGUCCGGGCCAGGAAGUUGAAUCUGUAUGAAAAGAUCCUGAAGCUGGAGGGCUUGUCAUGUGAGUCAUGGCAGGAGGUGGAGCAGAUGUCACUUCAGGAGCCGACUCACCUGAUGCAGCACCUGAUCCAGAAGAAGAAGUUCAGCCUCAGCAUGGAGUGGGCCAAGUACCACAAUGGGAGUGCCGAGUUGCAUCGCCUGGUGGACCAGAGUUACUUGAUGGAGGUGCUGGACAAAACCACGCCUGACUUCAGUGUUGCUUCAGAGGCCAUGGAGGCACUCACACACACAGAUCUGAGUAUUAUAGUGCAAGAGCUGCUUCAUAAACUGUCAAACUUCUCAACACGGCAGUUUCUCAUUGAGUUUUAUCUGAGAAAGCAUUUCCGUGAGUGUGCUGCCAUGAAAUCUGUUCAGACAUUCCCUGGUGAAGGCAGUGAGUCCCCAGAGAGCAGUGAGGAUGCUGGAGCAGCAGCCUGUGAACCAGGUGGUGCUGCUGCUGCUAGUAAUGGUGGUAGUGGUCCUGUGGAUGUUGGGGCCAUGUUGCAAGAGGUGAUGGGACUGCUGCUGAUAGAAGCUGUAGGACCUCCUGGCUUGGACAGGUUUCAGCUGAGCCCUUUGGUGACCUCUCCUCACCUCAUAAUUGAACAGUGGCUCAUGAAUGUGCGUCUGGAAGCUGUGGAGAAGGCUGUGGAGGUGCUGCGCCCAUUCCUGGACAUGGUGGAUACACAUAUCAUGACAGACAAGCUAAGGGAUUUAGAUACCUCAAGAAAUGACAAGAAUGAAGUCCCUCAAGGGCUGAGCUGGACCACACUGAACCAGAUUUUGGAGAUGUACGCUGCCAAGGCUCUGGACACCUCUGGGGUGCAGCUCGCCCUCAAACCUUUGACCACCAUUGAGAAAGCACCCAAGAAGUUUGUGAUGCCGGCCCACCCACCUGAGAUACAGGACUGGGUGCCGGAUGCUGAGGUGCGCAAGUGUCCUGUGUGUGAGGUGACCAUAUUCUCCAUGUUCUCACGGCGCCACCACUGCCGCCGGUGUGGUAGGGUGGUGUGCAGCACGUGCUCCCAGCACCGCAGCCUGGUGCAGGGAUAUGGGGGGCUGUCAGUCAGAGUUUGCCUUGACUGCUACAACCAAACCAAAGAACUCAACCUCAACAACUACAUACAGAUUCGUCCUCUGGGAGACGGGACAUUUGACUCCGUGUCGGUGAGCGUGGACGAGCAGAGUCCUCAUGGGGGCACCUCCCUGGGCAGCGACAUGGAGGGCGGGUGGUACCUGUCCACGGACCAACAACACAAUGACAUCAUCCGCAAUGAGUUCUGUUUUGACUAUGCGCCGUCACUGAGCCUGUGUCUGGCCAUCUUGUCCCAUCACCAGGAUGACAGGAGGGCUGCCCUGUGCGUCAUCAAGCUGUGCCACCGCCUCUUUGCCCUCAUCACGUCAUCCCUGCAGCUGAUGAGCCCGACUGUGGACCACUCCUUUGUGCUGUCCAUGAUCCAGACCCUGCUGGCCUCUGCAAAGGUGCGCUUUGGCAACACUGGAGAGCACCAUGGCAUUGGACUAUGUGAGUAUUACACCCAGUGGGUGGAUUUGCUCUCACUCAUCCUGAAAUCAAACUGUGGCCACAUCAUUCCCCAUGAAGCCCUGGAAAACAUGCAGAUGAUUGGAGAGUUGCACCAAAAGAGCCUGGUGAGGGAGGGAGAUGCACUGGUGGUGCUGGACAGACGCCUCAAGCAAGAAUUCCUGUAUAUGAGGCGCCUCAGGGAUAUGCUGGUCAAGAGGCAGAUGUGGGGACUGGCACUGGAUGUGUCCACCAAGGUGGGCCUGGAGGCUAAUGGGGUAUGGGGGGCAUGGGCCAUGGCUUCCCUCAAAGCUGGGGACUUCUUGGGUGCCAGGGAGCGCUUCUCUCGCGUUCUGGAGAGGCCGUCGGACAAGAACAAGCCGUGCAAACCUUCCCUGCUGUCUGAAGUCAUCAAGUAUCUUGAGAGUAAUCCAUUCCAGGUGAACCAGCAGGUGAUGGAGCAGGCACAGCGCACACGUUCCAGCAUCAUGCUCACCGACCACAACAAGCUCUCCUCCUCACAGGCUCUGGUUGUGCUGCACAGUUUGCAGAGCCUUCAUAAGAUUGCAGAAGGAAGCCUGACAUGUAAAGACUUGUACCAAAGGGCACCUCAGCGUGGCAACAAACAGAGAAAGGGAAACACUCCUAAGAUGGAGUCUAUAUUUCAGGCAGAGUGCAAGUACUAUUUAACUUUGUAUGGCAACCAUGCCAUGACCAUUCAGUACUUCAUGAGACACAGGCAGAUUCAGGAGUGUGUAGAGUACAUCCAGCACACUAACAUUGAUGUGGAGGUCUUCAUUCAGAAUGUCCUCAUAUCCAUCCUGAGGCGCGGGCAGCUGGGCCCCCUCAUGGCCUGCAUCCAUGCUGCCGACCCACACAUGGAGAAGUGGGGCAAGCUGUUGCUGGGCUCCUGCCGCUGGCUGGAACAUAGCGGGUGGUGGAACUGUCUCCUGUCCCUGCAGGAGUCCAUGGGAGACAGGCUGAGAGCAUCAAUGACCCUGCUGAGGAUGUACACAGACGGUGCCACCAGCUACACAACACUGUCCAGCAGAUCAGAGCAUGUGAGUCUGGCACUGAGACACCUGCAGGCUUACCUGGACCAGCAGGCUCUCACUGCAUCCUCAUCCAAGAAAAAGAUCUCCGUCCUCAAUAUGUCACCAUGGCAGAUCAACCAGAACAUCAACAUGCUCAAGCUACAAAUGGACGUCACAAAGUUCCUGGCGGGCUGUGAGGCGAGUGGUGGCAACAUCCCCGCCUGUGUUAAGAUUCUGGUAGACCUGAAGAUAGUGAAGGACAACAGCCUUCCCACUCUGCUGACCAGUGAUGGGGGACGGCUGGGUGUGGCCGUCCUGGUGAUGUGCCUGACGGACAUGGCAGCGGACGGCCUGGCCUUGGCCUACCGCAUCGUGGAACAUACACAGAUGUCGGUGGAGAGGCUUCUGUCAAAGUGCUGCCUGGUGCUGGUGCAGAGGGGACAUCUGAAGCACAUUGGGCGAGUGGUACGCAGCGUAAAGGAGUGGGAGAUACUGACUCCAGCUACUAUGGAUGCUGCCCUGCGCCCUGCCUUGCUGUCCCUUGCCUCCACCAGCAGUGCCGCCCACCUAGACACUCUGGUCAAACUUCUCUCUAGUGAUGCAGCGAGGAUGGACAUGUUCCUGGAGUGCCGGCGCCUGAGGUCAGCUUACCUAGUGGCAGUGCACAUUGGGGAGCGGCCAUGGGUGGAGCGGGUGAAGGCUGCGGCGCUCAGUGUGGGCCAGAACCAUGUGGCAUCCAUGUGUGACAAGUGGCUCAGUUGCAAGGACAGCGGGCCCUGACUCACUCUCUCACUCUUCAACAAAUCUUACCUUCAACCUAACCUAACCUAACCUACACAAAUCUUAUCUUGGAUACUUAUAGCUUUUUGAACUAGUCCAAUGUAAUCCUUCACUGCUAUAGAAAUAUUCACUCUGAUAUAUAACCUUUUACAUCCAUCCAUGCUAAACUUUUAAAUAAUUAUAUAUAAUGUAAGGAACUAAAUUAACCUCAUUGUCUCUCUCUCUGUAAAACAAAUAGUGAUUUCUGGAGCUGUGAAGAUCUUUAAGAUGCAACUUCUUUGUAUCCAGAGAGAUUCACACACUUUGUAAACUGAAGAAGUACAUCAUAAUCAUCAUCAUCACCAUCAUUGUCAUUGUCAUCAUUAUUGUCAUUAUCAUCAUUACUAUCAUUUAAAAAGGAAGUUUCUGUUUUUACAUUGGUUUGCUUUGACAUUGGAGGGAGUUCUUUGCAAUCUGUCCUUGAGUCUUUUCUUGAUAUUUUCUUUCAAUUCUAUUUUCUGUAAUCUGCUGCUGCCUUUUUUUCUAUUUCAGUAGCCGUGAAGCAUUCUUUUCUGUCGUCUCUCUCUCCUCAUGGCUGAUUGGAGGCAUGAUAUAUAUUAGCCAUGUGGUCAUAAUCCUAUGUUGUUUUUAAGUGACUGGAAAGACUUGAGGAAACGAAUUAUGUGUGUCCUUGCUCUCUCAAGGCUGAUACAUACACUGGCUAUGUGGUUGUACUCUGUGUUGCUUGAUGACAGCUGAAGCAAUCAUUGUUAAUAGUGAUGGAUCAUUGAAGGACAGGAAAGCUACCACUGUUCCAUUCCUUGCUCCAAAACUAUGGAAGAUGCAAUGACAGAAGCAGGAGUAAUGUCAUCAGUCACAGCAGCAGAAAGAGUAACAAUAACAAUGCAUAAUAGUUCAGAGGUGCUAUGUCUCAGCCCUGGAGUGUAGUAGGGUGCUCUACCAGACUGUCCCUCUCCACCAGCAGGUUCUGAGAGGGCUAAGAGUGUGAUGAAUAAGGUGUGUGUGUGUGUGUGUGUGUGUGUGUGUGUGUGUGUGUGUGUGGUGCCUUGUUUAAGUCAUCCCAUUUGGGAUUGCCAGCCUGGUAUAUAGGUAAAUAUAUAAUAUAAUUAGUAUGAUAGUAGAGGGCAUAGGCUUGCUUCACUCAAACAUUUCAUCUCAUACAGAAAAAAAUAGUAGUACGGUUUAGAAAUCAGUUAGUGAGGUUGUUCCAGUGAUGAGUGAUGGCAGAUUCCUUUGUGGCAAAGGUUUAUCUGCUACACGUGUCACUAAAGAGUCUGGUGCAGUUCUUCUUUCUGCACCUUCUCUGUAUUGAUGAUCAAAUGUUUGUGUGAGGACAUGCCCUAUUGACUCUGCCACACUGCCGUCCUGUCAUGUGGGGAACAAACCAAUUAUGUGAAAUUACUUUUAGUGUACUCUACAUAGAAUUUAGGGACUUGGAUUCAAAUCUCUUAGGUUGUCUCUCUUCCUACUGUAGCUCCUGUUCUUUUGGAGGAUAGGCACAGGAGCACAAGAUUAACAAUCCUGCCUUUCAUGUGUGUGUGUGUGCCUGCGUGUGUGUGUGCGUGCGUGCACUUGCUACAAGAGACCAGAAGUAAUGUAUGCUGUAUACUGAGGAAUAAGAAGGCAAAGGUAUAAAGGAAACAAGUGUGUGCAAAGUUCCAUAUUGAGUUCAGUUCCUGUUCUUCAGUGAAGUGUUUGAUUGAUGAAAUGUCGGGUGAUUCUUGUGUAGAUUUCUGUAUUGGUGGGAGGAUUGAUUGUGCUCAUCUAAGACUAUUUUCUGUAAGGCAGAAGUUGUUCUAAAAGAAAAAGAAGAAUUCCUUAUAUGUAACUGAACUUGCAUUCCUGAAGGGAGGUGAUCUGAAAUCUUUGCAUUGAUGUGCCUUAGGAAAGGUACCAGGUCUCAUGGAUCCAGGCAAAGACUGUGUGUAUGUGGGUCAAUACACUUCACUUUUGUAUUGGAAAAGCAUUCCUGUGGUGGGAUGGGUGACUUGUGAGUGCUGUGUUGAGAGGUUACCCAGAAGCCUUUGUCAUGUCAGAUACAUGCUGUAAAUCUGACAGUUUACCUCUCACCUGGUUGGAAUUAGACUAAUCUGAGUAAAGGACAACAGUAUGUACCUAGCUUGUAGUUUUAAAGUUUUUACAGGGAAAAUAGAUCAUGUAUUUGCAAAGAAUCAUUAGGUUGGUAACUAUUAGAGGUACUUAUCCCAAGCAGUGGUAGAUGUAGAUGACUGACCCCGUGACAAUGCUGCACUGAUUAGAAAUGUGUGUGUGCUGCCACCAGCUUGCAUUGAGAGCAGUAAUGUGGGUGACAGGUGCUGUGACAGUUUUGUAUUGAUAGGAAAUGUGUGUAUUCAUUGCAGUAGUAGGUGUAAUGUGGAUGACAGAUGCUGUGACAAUGCUACUCUGAAUAGAAGUUGUAUACACAUUGGCAUCAGUUCCACAUGAGGUGCUCCACAAGUUGGUGGGGUUGUCCUUUCCUGGUACAUUGUUCAUAGAGAAGACAGCAAGUGAAAGUCAUUUGUGAUUAUUGAUUGGCACAAUGUGUUGUGGGACCAGAUGGUGAGUUAGUGGUCUGUCAAGUAUUAGUUGUAGCAAACAAUACAAUUGCCUGUGUUAUAGGAGGUUAUUUACAGGCUGUGAUUACAUAUGAAGCUUACUAUCUAUCCAUAAAUUUAAGAUGCAUCUGAAGAUAAAAAUGAAAUUGUAUCCUUAGAUUAUUAUUGUCUGCUAUAGACUUACUUAUGUGAGUGUGUGUGUGUGUUUAGGACAGGAUGCGUACAGACACCUGCCCAGUGUGGAGGCUGGGGUGUAUCUGAAUCAGGUGAGCCAGCAUUGGUAUCAGCCUCCUUCAUGGUCAUACUGAGGACAGAUCUUAUGCAGCUCUUGGUAUUUAAGUUUUAUAGUAUUCUACAUCCUACAUUAAGGCAACAUGUACUCCAUACUCUUUAGAUUUAAUUGAUUAGGGAACUUUAAUGUAAGUACUACUCUGAAACUGCUCAUUAGAGAUGUGCCAAAAACUACACUAAGAUCUUGAAUUAAUCUUUUAUAUAGUGUUGGUAAUGUUUUAUAAGUUUUAUUAAUAAUUCAUUUAACAAAUAUGUAUUUUAAUUUUUCACAUUUUAGGAAACUUUUAAAUACUAUUGUAAAAUGGAAUAUGAAAGAUAAUAAGUGAGCAUUUCUAUAUUUAUAUUUAGAUGCAUCUUUUAUAGUUCCAUGGAAAAAUGUAGCAAUGAUAAGUACAGUAUACAUUAAAGCUAUCACAAAAUAAACAUAAUUACAAUAUA